rnacentral:rRNA from 1 species
GAUGAACGCUGGCGGCGUGCCUAAUACAUGCAAGUCGAGCGAACGGACGAGAAGCUUGCUUCUCUGAUGUUAUCGGCGGACGGGUGAGUAACACGUGGAUAACCUACCUAUAAGACUGGGAUAACUUCGGGAAACCGGAGCUAAUACCGGAUAAUAUUUUGAACCGCAUGGUUCAAAAGUUAAAGACGGUCUUUCUGUCACUUAUAGAUGGAUCCGCGCUGCAUUAGCUAGUUGGUAAGGUAACGGCUUACCAAGGCAACGAUGCAUAGCCGACCUGAGAGGGUGGUCGGACACCCGGGAACUGAGAAACGGUACAGACUCCGAGGGGAGGAAGCAGUAGGGAAUCUUCCGCAAUGGGCGAAAGCCUGACGGAGCAACGCCGCGUGAGUGAUGAAGGUCUUCGGAUCGUAAAACUCUGUUAUUAGGGAAGAACAUAUGUGUAAGUAACUGUGCACAUCUUGACGGUACCUAAUCAGAAAGCCACGGCUAACUACGUG